rnacentral:rRNA from 1 species
AUGAACGCUGGCGGCGUGCCUAAUACCUGCUAGUCGAGCGAACAGACGAGGAGCUUGCUCCUCUGACGUUAGCGGCGGACGGGUGAGUAACACGUGGAUAACCUACCUAUAAGACUGGGAUAACUUCGGGAAACCGGAGCUAAUACCGGAUAAUAUAUUGAACCGCAUGGUUCAAUAGUGAAAGACGGUUUUGCUGUCACUUAUAGAUGGAUCCGCGCCGCAUUAGCUAGUUGGUAAGGUAGCGGCUUACCAAGGCAACGAUGCGUAGCCGACCUGAGAGGGUGAUCGGCCACACUGGAACUGAGACACGGUCCAGACUCCUACGGGAGGCAGCAGUAGGGAAUCUUCCGCAAUGGGCGAAAGCCUGACGGAGCAACGCCGCGUGAGUGAUGAAGGUCUUCGGAUCGUAAAACUCUGUUAUUAGGGAAGAACAGAUGUGUAAGUAACUAUGCACGUCUUGACGGCACCUAAUCAGAAAGCCACGGCUAACUACGUG